UGGGGAAUUUUGGACAAUGGGCGCAAGCCUGAUCCAGCCAUGCCGCGUGCGGGAAGAAGACCUUCGGGUUGUAAACUGCUUUUGUACGGAACGAAACGGCUCUGUCUAAUACAUGGGGCUAAUGACGGUACCGUAAGAAUAAGCACCGGCUAACUACGUGCCAGCAGCCGCGGUAAUACGUAGGGUGCAAGCGUUAAUCGGAAUUACUGGGCGUAAAGCGUGCGCAGGCGGUUAUGUAAGACAGAUGUGAAAUCCCCGGGCUCAACCUGGGACCUGCAUUUGUGACUGCAUAGCUAGAGUACGGCAGAGGGGGAUGGAAUUCCGCGUGUAGCAGUGAAAUGCGUAGAUAUGCGGAGGAACACCGAUGGCGAAGGCAAUCCCCUGGGCCUGUACUGACGCUCAUGCACGAAAGCGUGGGGAGCAACCA
rnacentral:rRNA from 1 species